rnacentral:lncRNA from 1 species
AUGGUCUCAGACGUUUCCUCUUUCAGCACACAGAACGCAGAGGCCCCUGCUCCACACCAUGCAGUGCCUUGGGCCAGACACCCCCCUGCUCCCCUUGUGCCAGGCAAGAUGGCAGAAGCUGCAGCCUGCAGAGGUGGGGCCCCGGGAGGCUGCCUUGCCUGCAGCCCCGCUGCUCUCCCAGGAUCAGAGAGCUCCUUUUUAAACUUAAUUUUAACUCCUUAUGCAAACAAAGGGCAGCUCUGUGGGUGGGGGGAGGCACACAGAGGUGCUCCUGCCUGGGGGCUGCACUGCACCAGCACCAGCACAGUCCGUUUCUGCUCUCAGUACCAAUUCGUGCCUUCCACGAUAAGGCAGGGACCUGCCUCCCCUUGCCAAGCCCCUCCCUGGCUUUCCUGUCUUCCCGGGGGCCUCCCUGCUGCAACAUGGGUCUGUUUGAGCAACAGCCCCAAAGCGGAUCCGUUUCUCUCAGCAACAGCCCCAAAGCGGAUCCGUUUCUCUCAGCAACAGCCCCAAAGCGGAUCCGUUUCUCUCAGCAACAGCCCCAAAGCGGAUCCGUUUCUCUCAGCAACAGCCCCAAAGCGGAUCCGUUUCUCUCAGCAACAGCCCCAAAGCGGAUCCGUUUCUCUCAGCAACAGCCCCAAAGCGGAUCCGUUUCUCUCAGCAACAGCCCCAAAGCGGAUCCGUUUCUCUCAGCAACAGCCCCAAAGCGGAUCCGUUUCUCUCAGCAACAGCCCCAAAGCGGAUCCGUUUCUCUCAGCAACAGCCCCAAAGCGGAUCCGUUUCUCUCAGCAACAGCCCCAAAGCGGAUCCGUUUCUCUCAGCAACAGCCCCAAAGCGGAUCCGUUUCUCUCAGCAACAGCCCCAAAGCGGAUCCGUUUCUCUCAGCAACAACCCCAAAGCGGAUCCGUUUCUCUCAGNNNNNNNNNNNNNNNNNNNNNNNNNNNNNNNNNNNNNNNNNNNNNNNNNNUGGGAGCUCCCGUGCUGGGGUGGAGUGGAGGGCGG